rnacentral:rRNA from 1 species
UCGCGUGUCUCAGAGUUUGAUCCUGGCUCAGGAUGAACGCUGGCGGCGCGCCUAACACAUGCAAGUCGAACGAUUAAAGCACCUUUUAGGUGUGUAUAAAGUGGCGAACGGCUGAGUAACACGUGGGCAACCUGCCCUUUUCUUUGGGAUAGCUACGGGAAACCGUAGGUAAUACCGAAUACUUCUUGAUUGUCGCAUGGCAAACAAGAGAAAGCUUUUGCGGAAAAGGAUGGGCCCGCGGCCUGUUAGCUUGUUGGUGGGGUAAUGGCCUACCAAGGCAGUUAUGGGUAGCCGGGUUGAGAGACCGACCGGCCAGAUUGGGACUGAGACACGGCCCAG